rnacentral:rRNA from 1 species
AGAGUUUGAUCCUGGCUCAGAACGAACGUUGGCGGCGUGGAUUAGGCAUGCAAGUCGAGCGAGAUUAACUUGCUUCAAUCUUUCGGGAGAGAAGCUUGUUAUGAAAGCGGCGAACGGGUGAGUAAUAUAUGGGUAAUUUGCCUCUUUGUUCGGAAUAGCCAUCGGAAACGAUGAUUAAUGCCGGAUGUGUUCGGGUGCCGCAUGGUACUCUAUAUAAAGGCGGGGAUUCUUCGGAACCUGUCGCAAAGAGAUAAGCCCAUAUCCUAUCAGCUUGUUGGUGAGGUAAUGGCUCACCAAGGCUUACGGGUAGCGGGUCUGAGAGGAUGAUCCGCCACACUGGGACUGAGACACUGCCCAGACUCCUACGGGAGGCUGCAGUCGAGAAUCAUUGACAAUGUACGAAAGUAUGAUCAUGCGACGCCGCGUGGAGGAAGACGGCCUUCGGGUUGUAAACUCCUGUCAGCAGGAAGUAAGGAUAGAUUUGUUAAUAGCAAUUCUAUUUGAUAGUACCUGCAGAGGAAGUCACGGCUAACUCUGUGCCAGCAGCCGCGGUAAUACAGAGGUGGCAAACGUUGUUCGGAUUUACUGGGCGUAAAGGGUCCGCAGGCGGUCUUGUGUGUCAGAUGUGAAAGCCCACGGCUCAACCGUGGAAUUGCAUUUGAAACUGCAGGACUAGAGUACUGGAGGGGAGAAGGGAACACUUGGUGUAGCGGUGAAAUGCGUAGAUAUCAAGUGGAACACCGGUGGCGAAGGCGCUUCUCUGGACAGAUACUGACGCUCAUGGACGAAAGCUUGGGUAGCGAAAGGGAUUAGAUACCCCUGUAGUCCAAGCCGUAAACGGUGUGCACUAGGCGUGGGAGGCUUUACCCCCUUCCGUGCCUGAGCUAACGCAUUAAGUGCACCGCCUGGGCGACGACGAUCGCCUGCGGACCCUUUUACGCCCAGUAAAUCAGAACGAACGUUGRCKGCGUGGAUUAGGCAUGCAAGUCGAGCGAGAUUAACUUGCUUCAAUCUUUCGGGAGAGAAGCUUGUUAUGAAAGCGGCGAACGGGUGAGUAAUAUAUGGGUAAUUUGC